rnacentral:rRNA from 1 species
ACCUUUUGUAUAAUGGGUCAGCGACUUAUAUUCUGUAGCAAGGUUAACCGAAUAGGGGAGCCGAAGGGAAACCGAGUCUUAACUGGGCGUUAAGUUGCAGGGUAUAGACCCGAAACCCGGUGAUCUAGCCAUGGGCAGGUUGAAGGUUGGGUAACACUAACUGGAGGACCGAACCGACUAAUGUUGAAAAAUUAGCGGAUGACUUGUGGCUGGGGGUGAAAGGCCAAUCAAACCGGGAGAUAGCUGGUUCUCCCCGAAAGCUAUUUAGGUAGCGCCUCGUGAAUUCAUCUCCGGGGGUAGAGCACUGUUUCGGCAAGGGGGUCAUCCCGACUUACCAACCCGAUGCAAACUGCGAAUACCGGAGAAUGUUAUCACGGGAGACACACGGCGGGUGCUAACGUCCGUCGUGAAGAGGGAAACAACCCAGACCGCCAGCUAAGGUCCCAAAGUCAUGGUUAAGUGGGAAACGAUGUGGGAAGGCCCAGACAGCCAGGAUGUUGGCUUAGAAGCAGCCAUCAUUUAAAGAAAGCGUAAUAGCUCACUGGUCGAGUCGGCCUGCGCGGAAGAUGUAACGGGGCUAAACCAUGCACCGAAGCUGCGGCAGCGACGCUUAUGCGUUGUUGGGUAGGGGAGCGUUCUGUAAGCCUGUGAAGGUGUACUGUGAGGUAUGCUGGAGGUAUCAGAAGUGCGAAUGCUGACAUAAGUAACGAUAAAGCGGGUGAAAAGCCCGCUCGCCGGAAGACCAAGGGUUCCUGUCCAACGUUAAUCGGGGCAGGGUGAGUCGACCCCUAAGGCGAGGCCGAAAGGCGUAGUCGAUGGGAAACAGGUUAAUAUUCCUGUACUUGGUGUUACUGCGAAGGGGGGACGGAGAAGGCUAUGUUGGCCGGGCGACGGUUGUCCCGGUUUAAGCGUGUAGGCUGGUUUUCCAGGCAAAUCCGGAAAAUCAAGGCCGAGGCGUGAUGACGAGGCACUACGGUGCUGAAGCAACAAAUGCCCUGCUUCCAGGAAAAGCCUCUAAGCAUCAGGUAACAUCAAAUCGUACCCCAAACCGACACAGGUGGUCAGGUAGAGAAUACCAAGGCGCUUGAGAGAACUCGGGUGAAGGAACUAGGCAAAAUGGUGCCGUAACUUCGGGAGAAGGCACGCUGAUACGUAGGUGAAGCGACUUGCUCGUGGAGCUGAAAUCAGUCGAAGAUACCAGCUGGCUGCAACUGUUUAUUAAAAACACAGCACUGUGCAAACACGAAAGUGGACGUAUACGGUGUGACGCCUGCCCGGUGCCGGAAGGUUAAUUGAUGGGGUUAGCGCAAGCGAAGCUCUUGAUCGAAGCCCCGGUAAACGGCGGCCGUAACUAUAACGGUCCUAAGGUAGCGAAAUUCCUUGUCGGGUAAGUUCCGACCUGCACGAAUGGCGUAAUGAUGGCCAGGCUGUCUCCACCCGAGACUCAGUGAAAUUGAACUCGCUGUGAAGAUGCAGUGUACCCGCGGCAAGACGGAAAGACCCCGUGAACCUUUACUAUAGCUUGACACUGAACAUUGAGCCUUGAUGUGUAGGAUAGGUGGGAGGCUUUGAAGUGUGGACGCCAGUCUGCAUGGAGCCGACCUUGAAAUACCACCCUUUAAUGUUU